rnacentral:rRNA from 1 species
CCUACGAGCGGCAGCAGUGAGGAAUAUUGGUCAAUGGACGCAAGUCUGAACCAGCCAUGCCGCGUGCAGGAAGACGGCUCUAUGAGUUGUAAACUGCUUUUGUACGAGGGUAAACGCAGAUACGCGUAUCUGUCUGAAAGUAUCGUACGAAUAAGGAUCGGCUAAAUCCGUGCCAGCAGCCGCGGUAAUACGUAGGAUUCAAGCGUUAUCCGGAUUUAUUGGGUUUAAAGGGUGCGUAGGCGGUCGGAUAAGUUAGAGGUGAAAUCCCGAGGCUCAAAUUCGGAAUUGACUCUGAUACUGUUCGGCUAGAGAGUAGUUGAGGUAGGCGGAAUGUAUGGUGUAGCGGUGAAAUGCGUAGAGAUCAUACAGAACACCGAUUGCGAAGGCAGCUUACCAAGCUACUUCUGACGUUGAGGCACGAAAGCGUGGGGAGCAAACAGGAUUAGAUACCCCAGUAGUC